rnacentral:rRNA from 1 species
CCUACGGGAGGCAGCAGUGGGGAAUCUUGCACAAUGGAGGAAACUCUGAUGCAGCGAUGCCGCGUGAGUGAAGAAGGCCCUUGGGUUGUAAAGCUCUUUCGUCGGGGAAGAAAAUGACUGUACCCGAAUAAGAAGGUCCGGCUAACUUCGUGCCAGCAGCCGCGGUAAUACGAAGGGACCUAGCGUAGUUCGGAAUUACUGGGCUUAAAGAGUUCGUAGGUGGUUGAAAAAGUUAGUGGUGAAAUCCCAGAGCUUAACUCUGGAACUGCCAUUAAAACUUUUCAGCUAGAGUAUGAUAGAGGAAAGCAGAAUUUCUAGUGUAGAGGUGAAAUUCGUAGAUAUUAGAAAGAAUACCAAUUGCGAAGGCAGCUUUCUGGAUCAUUACUGACACUGAGGAACGAAAGCAUGGGUAGCGAAGAGGAUUAGAUACCCUCGUAGUCCAUGCCGUAAACGAUGUGUGUUAGACGUUGGAAAUUUAUUUUCAGUGUCGCAGCGAAAGCGAUAAACACACCGCCUGGGGAGUACGACCGCAAGGUUAAAACUCAAAUGAAUUGACG